rnacentral:rRNA from 1 species
UUAAAUUGAAGAGUUUGAUCAUGGCUCAGAUUGAACGCUGGCGGCAGGCCUAACACAUGCAAGUCGAACGGUAACAGGAAGCAGCUUGCUGCUUUGCUGACGAGUGGCGGACGGGUGAGUAAUGUCUGGGAAACUGCCUGAUGGAGGGGGAUAACUACUGGAAACGGUGGCUAAUACCGCAUAACGUCGCAAGACCAAAGAGGGGGACCUUCGGGCCUCUUGCCAUCAGAUGUGCCCAGAUGGGAUUAGCUUGUUGGUGAGGUAACGGCUCACCAAGGCGACGAUCCCUAGCUGGUCUGAGAGGAUGACCAGCCACACUGGAACUGAGACACGGUCCAGACUCCUACGGGAGGCAGCAGUGGGGAAUAUUGCACAAUGGGCGCAAGCCUGAUGCAGCCAUGCCGCGUGUAUGAAGAAGGCCUUCGGGUUGUAAAGUACUUUCAGCGGGGAGGAAGGUGUUGUGGUUAAUAACCGCAGCAAUUGACGUUACCCGCAGAAGAAGCACCGGCUAACUCCGUGCCAGCAGCCGCGGUAAUACGGAGGGUGCAAGCGUUAAUCGGAAUUACUGGGCGUAAAGCGCACGCAGGCGGUCUGUCAAGUCGGAUGUGAAAUCCCCGGGCUCAACCUGGGAACUGCAUUCGAAACUGGCAGGCUUGAGUCUUGUAGAGGGGGGUAGAAUUCCAGGUGUAGCGGUGAAAUGCGUAGAGAUCUGGAGGAAUACCGGUGGCGAAGGCGGCCCCCUGGACAAAGACUGACGCUCAGGUGCGAAAGCGUGGGGAGCAAACAGGAUUAGAUACCCUGGUAGUCCACGCCGUAAACGAUGUCUACUUGGAGGUUGUGCCCUUGAGGCGUGGCUUCCGGAGCUAACGCGUUAAGUAGACCGCCUGGGGAGUACGGCCGCAAGGUUAAAACUCAAAUGAAUUGACGGGGGCCCGCACAAGCGGUGGAGCAUGUGGUUUAAUUCGAUGCAACGCGAAGAACCUUACCUGGUCUUGACAUCCACGGAAGUUUUCAGAGAUGAGAAUGUGCCUUCGGGAACCGUGAGACAGGUGCUGCAUGGCUGUCGUCAGCUCGUGUUGUGAAAUGUUGGGUUAAGUCCCGCAACGAGCGCAACCCUUAUCCUUUGUUGCCAGCGGUCCGGCCGGGAACUCAAAGGAGACUGCCAGUGAUAAACUGGAGGAAGGUGGGGAUGACGUCAAGUCAUCAUGGCCCUUACGACCAGGGCUACACACGUGCUACAAUGGCGCAUACAAAGAGAAGCGACCUCGCGAGAGCAAGCGGACCUCAUAAAGUGCGUCGUAGUCCGGAUUGGAGUCUGCAACUCGACUCCAUGAAGUCGGAAUCGCUAGUAAUCGUGGAUCAGAAUGCCACGGUGAAUACGUUCCCGGGCCUUGUACACACCGCCCGUCACACCAUGGGAGUGGGUUGCAAAAGAAGUAGGUAGCUUAACCUUCGGGAGGGCGCUUACCACUUUGUGAUUCAUGACUGGGGUGAAGUCGUAACAAGGUAACCGUAGGGGAACCUGCGGUUGGAUCACCUCCUUACCUUAAAGAAG